rnacentral:rRNA from 1 species
UGGGGAAUAUUGCGCAAUGGGCGAAAGCCUGACGCAGCGACGCCGCGUGAGGGAUGAAGGUCCUCGGAUCGUAAACCUCUGUCAGAAGGGAAGAAUGUAGCGCGUGCCAAUCAGCGUGUUAUUGACGGUACCUUCAAAGGAGCACCGGCUAACUCCGUGCCAGCAGCCGCGGUAAUACGGAGGGUGCAAGCGUUAAUCGGAAUCACUGGGCGUAAAGCGCACGUAGGCUGUCGUGUAAGUCAGGGGUGAAAGCCCACGGCCCAACCGUGGAAUUGCCCUUGAUACUGCAUGACUGGAAUCC